GUCGAGGGGCAGCGGGGAGCAAGCUUGCUUGCUCUGCCGGCGACCGGCGCACGGGUGAGUAACACGUAUGCAACCUGCCCUCCGCAGGGGGAUAACCCGGAGAAAUCCGGACUAAUACCGCGUGGUACACUUGUGGGGCAUCCCACGGGUGUUAAAAGGAAGUGAUUCCGGCGGAGGAUGGGCAUGCGGCGCAUUAGCUAGUUGGCGGGGUAACGGCCCACCAAGGCGACGAUGCGUAGGGGUUCUGAGAGGAAGGUCCCCCACACUGGUACUGAGACACGGACCAGACUCCUACGGGAGGCAGCAGUGAGGAAUAUUGGUCAAUGGGCGGGAGCCUGAACCAGCCAAGUCGCGUGAGGGAAGACGGUCCUAUGGAUUGUAAACCUCUUUAGGCGGGGAGCAAUGCCGGGCACGCGUGCCCGGAGGGAGAGUACCCGCAGAAUAAGCAUCGGCUAACUCCGUGCCAGCAGCCGCGGUAAUACGGAGGAUGCGAGCGUUAUCCGGAUUUAUUGGGUUUAAAGGGUGCGUAGGCGGAUUUUUAAGUCAGCGGUAAAAUGUCCGGGCUCAACCCGGGCCGGCCGUUGAAACUGGGGAUCUUGAGUGGGCGAGAAGUAUGCGGAAUGCGUGGUGUAGCGGUGAAAUGCAUAGAUAUCACGCAGAACUCCGAUUGCGAAGGCAGCAUACCGGCGCCCGACUGACGCUGAGGCACGAAAGCGUGGGGAUCGAACAGGAUUAGAUACCCUGGUAGUCCACGCAGUAAACGAUGAAUGCUAGUUGUCCGGUUCUUUGGGACU
rnacentral:rRNA from 1 species